CUCAAGCUUGCUGCAGGGUUUUUUUUUUCUUUGUCCAAAUCAUGCAACAAUUUGCUGCUGUUUUUUAUAACCUGAAAUAAGAUUAAAGUCCUAUUAUUAGUGACUCAUGCUGAUUUACAUUUAUGCAUUUGGAAAACACUUUUAUCCAAAACACCUUUGCUUUCAAUAUCAGUUCAUGCAUUCAUAUAAAUGGGAAUCAUAUAACUUUGAUGUUACUAAAGUCAUGCUGUACUAUUCUGUUCAUGACUUGCUAUAGCAUUUUUAUUUUUAUUUUUAUUUAUUAUUAUUAUUAUUAUUUUAAGUUUUAAAUAAAACAAAUAUUAUUGGAGUAUGGUUUAUAAGAAAAGACUAUUUGAGUCUUUACAUCUCAGAAUUUCAUGUUUAAUUCACUGUGUUACUUGCUGCUUCUUUGUAAUUAUUUGUGAAAUGUAUUAAUUAUUUCUGAAUGAAAAAUGUUUCUAAGUAAUUUCUACAUGUGUGUGUGUGUGUGUGUGUGUGUGUGUGUGUGUGUGUGUGUGUGUCAUCCAAAUUUAUUCUCUAAUUUCAGUCUGGACUACUUUAAAUGUAAGGGAGUCAUUUUGGUUAUAGAUUCAGUUUUUAUUCUCUUUUAAAGCUAAACUGUGUAUGAGAUAUAUUAUAUUUAGCAGGAAACAGGACUCAGGAAACCACAAUGUGAUGCUGUGUGGACAUGUACAGUACCGACUAUGCCAUGGUAGAGAUUCAUAUUCAACAUUUGAAGACAUAUCAUUUAUAGAUUGUUCCUCUGGCUCUUUUUUGUCCCCCACCUUCCUCUUUUCUGUGCCGUGUCAUUAGCACCAGCUCUGGGGCGGCGAAGACCACAUUUAUUUCUUCAUAUGGUGUAAUGUGUCACCCCCUUUUCCCCCUCCUUUUUCAAUUCACUGAAAUUUAGAUUUCCACUUCAAGGGAGCUGUGGCAGUGAUGGAAUCAAAGGCUCGCCUGUGGCUUUGAACCCUCCUGAUGAAGAGAUGAAAAGGGCCAGGUUGCUGGAGCUUCUAGCGCUCACCACUCCAGUUCCUGUCUGGCCAGUGGAAAAGAACAGAAUUGAGGGCCAGGCUGACCCACUGCCGAUGCCUGGCAGGAAGGAACAUUGGAAGGAAUAUCAAGAUACUAAUCCUCCGCUGCUUCAGGAGGUCGGGUCGUGCUCAGCAGUGGGCAGAGCUCAAAUGCAAACCCAGGAGCAUUUCCCAGCCUGCCAUUCGAAGAUUCCUCUUAUGCAGCACGGGAUGCACCAGACAAAGAGAGAUUGGGUGUUGGAGGACACUGAAGAAUGGAAGGCAAGGGAGUGCCCAAGCGCCCAGGAGGGAUCACUCACAGUGGGAUUAGACAUUCAGACACAGCUGGGUAUCGCUGUCUGGAUGGGUCUCUUUCAUCAAAUAGAUGGCUCGCUAUUGUGAGUGUUGCACUAGUGGGAAUUUGCUCUUAAGUAUGGAGUGAGAAAGGUCCAAGGGACUGGGAGGACACAUGCAUUGAAUGGCAAAGAGCCAAGGGAAGUGAAAAAAGAUAUAGUGGUUACUGUGGAGGGCAUUGCUUUAAAAAUACAUAAGCUGGGAAUGGAAUAAGUAAGUGCCUUAAACCCUUGCAAUUGAUUAUUGGUGCCUGGGGGGCAAUACUGAUAAUGAUGCCUCUAUUAAAUGGAUCCCCCCACCCAUUUCUGUGGAUAAAUGAGUAAUUAUAGCCAUUUAACAUUACAUUAAAUAACAACUUUUAAUUAAAUUGUUAAAGUGUUAAACUUGUUAUAAGUUUAAUUAAUAAAUUACAGUUAAUUGGUUUUAUUACAUUUAUUUGUUUUAAAGAUUAUUCAGAAUUAUAAUAUUGUAUAACUUAUGAUGUUGUUAACCUUAAAAUAUUCACAUAAACCAAUUACAAUAAAUGUUUUUAAUAUGUGAGUAUCAGUCAUCUCAAUACAACAUCAAUAUCACAAGUAUUAAUAACUUGUUUUUUGAAUUUGAAUUAUUUCAACACAUUAAACAGCAAAUACAAUAUAAUACAAUGUAAUGUAAUGUAAUAUAAUAUAAUAUAUUAUAAUAUAAUAUACCGUACAUAGUGGAUUAAUUUAAAUACAGUAACAGCACAUAUUUUUAUUGCAUUUUGUGCUUGGUUAAGUUGAAAUGCUGGUAGUUAGUAUAUAAGACACACACUGAGAAAAUGUUUGCUAAAGUGAUUGAGUUUGAUUGUUGGCUGCAUAUUGAGAGACCAUUUAGAUUUCAUUAUUAUUCACUUAACUUGUGUUUGUGUAGAGAAAUAGAGAGAAGACAGAUCCAACAAAUAGAAGAUUGGCAUCAGUUAUUAUGUUCCGUGUGGCCUCCAAUCAAAACAUUCAGUGUCUAUACCUGUAAAUACCUGUAGCACUUAUUCAUCCAUGUAUACAUCCAUAUAGCUAGUCAUUUAUUUAUUUAUUUCAACAGAACAGUUUCUAAAGAUGUUUUUAACAAACCAAAUCACAUACGGAAGGGGAGACAGAAAACAAAAUUACAGGUUCCUUAGGCUCUUUAUCUCAAGGGUGCAGGAAAGCAUUUUAAAAGUGUGGCAUAUUAUUCGAGUGUUUACUGUCACUAGAUUGUGUGAUUUCUGGUCGCUUUUGCAAGCUGUCUCCUCUGAUGAAGAAUAGGUUGAGGAAUGGAAGCAGCACUGAUUGUUUUUCUAAGAGGAAAGACAUGACAGGAAGAAGUUAAUUGCAUUUGAUUAUCCUUUGCUUUGAGGUACAUCAUCCAAUGGAUUGCCAUCUCAUAUGCCCAGUAUUUAAAUAUAUAUAUAUAUAUAUAUAUAUAUAUAUAUAUAUCUCUGUGAGUCCAUUACUGUGUAUUGACAACACCGGAAAUGCAUAUAAACACAGCGUCAGACAUCACACAUGUAUUUAUGAAUGCUGAUAUGGACUCUUGUUCUAUUAAUUUUUGCCAUAGGAUAAUGUGUUCAAAGUCCUCCUCCAGUUCUUUUACUCUUCAUGGAUUUGGUUUGUUUGCCAUAUUGGUAAUCUGAUGAUAUUUAUUUGUUUGCUUGUAUCGUUCAGUAUUGGAUAUUUAAUUGUUCAUGUUCAUUUCCUUCAGUUUACCAUUUUGUGGUAUCUUUGCCCUAGUGCUCUCUUAAAAAUAAUCUUUUAAAACAUUAAUCAGAAUCAGAAUCAGAAUGAGCUUUAUUGCCAGGUAUGUUUACACAUACAAGGAAUUUGUUUUCAUGUGAGAAACUUCUGCAGUGCAACAGAAUGACAGCGACAGAACAAAAAACACAUAAUAAAAUAAUAAAAAAUACAAAUAAGUAGGUAAGGAAUAACAAUAUACAAAUUUACAAUUGUAUGUGCAGGUAUAUUACAAUAGGCAGUUUUGUAUGUACAGGUAUAUUAUGUGAAAAUUUGAAGUGUAGACUAAGUAUGUGUGUUAGAUAAAUAUGUGUAUGUGUGUAUAAAUAGUGUUGUGUGUUCCACAGUUAUUGUCAAGUGUUCAUGAGAUGGAUUGCCUGGGGGAAGAAACUGUUCCUGUGUCUGGUCGUUCUGGUGCUCAGAGCUCUGUAGCGUUGACCAGAUGGCAACAGUUCAAAGAGGGAGUGUGUUGGAUGUGAGGAGUCCUGAGUGAUUUUGCAAGCCCUUUUGCUCACUCUGGAUAAGUACAGUUCUUGAAUAGAAGGGAGGGUUGUACCGAUGAUUCGCUCAGCAGUCCAGACUACCCUCUGUAGUCUUCUGAGGUCAGAUUUGGUAGCUGAGCUGAACCAGACAGUUACUGAAGUGCAGAGCACGGAUUCAAUGAUGGCAGAGUAGAACUGUUUCAGCAGCUCUUGUGGUAAGUUGAAUUUCCUCACCUGGCGAAGGAAGUACAACCCCUGCUGGGCCUUUUUCAAUGUCAAUGUGAAUGUCCCACUUCAGGUCCUGAGAGAUUGUGGUGCCCAGGAACCUGAAUGACUCCACUGCAGUCACAGUGCUGUUCAUGAUGGUGAGUGGGGGGAGAGCAGGGGGGUUUCUCCUGAAGUCCACUAUCAUCUCCACUGUUUUGAGUGUGUUGAGCUCCAGGUUGUUGAGACUUCACCAGACAGCCAGCUCUUUAACCUCCUGUCUGUAAGCAGACUCGUCACCAUCCUGAAUGAGCCCUACAAGUGUGAUGUCGUCAGCAAACUUCAGGAGCUUGACAGAGGGGUUAGUAGAUGUGUAGUCGUUGGUGUACAAGGAGAAGAGCAGUGGGGAGAGAAUGCAGCCAUGAGGAGCUCCAGUGCUGGUUAUAUGGGUACUGGAUGUGUAUUUUCCCAGUCUCACUAGCUGCUGCCUGUCUGUCAGGAAGCUGUUGAUCCACUGACAGACGGAGGUGGGCACGGAGAUCUGAGUUAGUUUGGGCAGGAGAAGGUUUUGGAUGUUAGUGUUAAAGGCCGAGCUGAAGUCCACAAACAGGAUCCUCACAUAAGUCCCUGGUCUGUCUAGGUGUUUUUAGAACAUAAUGCAGUCCAAUGUUUACUGCAUCGUCCACAGACCUGUUUGCUCUGUAGACAAACUGAAGAGUUUGGAGAGGUGUUCAGGGCGAGUUGCAAGAGGUGUUAU
ensembl:lncRNA